UAUGUUUGGAACUUAGAAGUUCUUGAUGUUCUGAGUAUAAUCAGCAAUGUUUGAACACGAUGUUCAAACAAGCCGCCACUGAGCCACGGAUGGCGGAUUGGCGGCACUGACCCACGGAUGGCUAAUUGGCGGCGGUUGCGUACAAUUACAACUAUCUAUAUCAGAACAUCUAGUACUUCUUAGUUUCAAUACAU
rfam:Clostridium sp. CAG:127 genomic scaffold, scf106